GGAUGGCUUCAAAGGCUGCAGGUUCUAGUGGCAGCAAGUUUAUUCAGCUGCACUUUGGACCUAAGCAGCAGAGGCCAGAGCAACAUAGUAAUUUCUUUGGGCCACAAUGGUCAGAAAACUGUAACUGAAAAGUGCCCACGCAGGAGAGACUUACUUCAUCUUUAAGUUUUCCUUAAAAACAGGAGCAGACUCAAAACCCGGGAUAAGGCACUAACACAAUUAACGAAGGCAGUAAAGCAGAGCGAUGAAUCUUACUUUGCAAAAUGAUUCCAAAGGCCUAAGAUGAAAGAGACGAAGAAAAAACUUAAUGGUGCAGCGUAAGACCUUCUGCCAGGAUUCUCAACAUAUUGUACUUCUGCAAAAAACACCACUGCAUUACUGCCCUGCAGGUGACAAAGCAUUCAGUCCACACCUGUGCUAAUACGGGAAUUGUCUCUUCUGCGUCGGAACAGUAGCAGAUAAGAUGCGACACAUGUGCUUCAGCCAGCCGGGACCGCAUGUUGAAGAUGACUAUACAUCGGAUUUAAAUAAACAGCAGAAAUGAACAUCAUCGUGCACAAGCCAACGAAACCUUCUCUCCCGGGACGUUCCAGGAGAUGAGAAAGCAGCAGGUCAUGGCAUAAGACUGGUACAGAUGAAAAAAAUCAAGUCACAGAGCAGUCAAGAAACUUGCCUAAGGUCAUCGAGCUGGUAAGUAACACAGCUGGGAUGUGAACCUGUGAAGUCUGGCGCCAGAGGCCAUACCGCUAGCCACUAGCCUACACUGUCUCAGUAAGCUGGCUGGCUAAAAUCGUGCAGAUUGUUUGGUCAGCCACCCUACACGUGGUGACGCCGACUCAAGGUGGAUCUCUCACAAAGAUGGAUUCAGUCUGCUUCCCCUCAGAUGUCUGCUUUAGUGUGAACUCUGCCAUGAAUUUCCACGUUGUUAUUUGUAAACUUCUAACUUACACAGUGUCUUUUUACCUCGAAAUUGUAUGCAGUGCUCUUCUGUUUUAAAGGCCAUUCACGGCCUACCUUUAGGAUGAUUUUGUCACUUCCUAACUCUCUGUGAAGAAAACAGUUAUAAGGGGUGCGAGAGGCGGCUUUAUGUUAUUGAGGAAGAGGAGGUUAAUUGUGAAACUCUCCGCACGAAGGUGCCAACUCAGUCCUGCCUUCCAGCUCCCGGCAGAGGUGCAGAGCUGCUGGCCUCCCUUCUCUCUUGGGGUGUUUAGGGGAACCCUAGAGGGUGUUUAGGGGAACCCUAGAGACCGGCCUGCAGAGCUGCAGGAUGCUUGGCCAACUCCCAGAAUCUGACUGUUCUGCACAUUCGUUAAGACAGAUGCUGUUUCUAAACAAGAAGGCUGUGAAUUUACCAAAUAUACCUAUUAGUAACGUUUUACAGAAAGACUACUAGGUAACUCAUCUAAUAUGAGGAACACUGGGGCACACGCUUCCCCUUGGGGAGUUCUGGAAAUCAACUGAACCCCACUACUGGGUACCCAAAGGUAUAAACGAUAAUAGCCUUGCAUUGCCUGAAUCUCCCCUUUGUAAAUCAGGCAAACCAAUACUAAUACGUAGGUGAGGCUUUACUAACCUAUGGCUAUAAAUGCUGAAAGCCAAAUAAGAAGUGAGUUAUCACAUUUAACAAAUUCAGUAGUGAUGAUAUUAGCACAGACAGUUAUAAUAUCAGGAUACUGACAUACCAGUGUUAAAAUAUUUUAAAAGAUGAAUGCUCACUGAACAGUCUCAAAGUUAUUGUUUUGAAAACCAUUUAUCUAUAUGGAGGUUGACUCUCAGAAAGUUAACCUGAUUUAUUCAUAUUUAGAUAAUUAAAAUGGUGAGAAUUUUAAAAAGGUGGGAACCUGUGUUGAUGGAUAUUAGCAAAAUAAACCUAAGAAAUUUCAAAUAUAAGUUAAUUAAAAAAUGAAUUUCAAUGUCUAACCCUAUGAGUAGAUAGAACAGUAAGAAUUUUUUCUUAAAGGUAAGAAACUGAUGGAUGUAUUGUUGGCCAAAAUAUUAAUCCACACCUUUAUGCAAAUGUUUCUGAAAUUACUAGUAAAUACUGGGUCAGCUAUGGCUUCCUCCCUAAAUUACAGUCUUUUCCAAAGGCAUAUGACUAGGUCAACAGAUCAGUCAGCUUUUUAUCAAAAAUUACUUAGCUUCAGAUUUUAUAAAUGCUACAGAAUUUGAUAAAAUACUAAUUCCUUUUAUCAUUAACAAAUCUCAUGGAAUGAGGAUGUAAUAACAAAAACCUUAAAUGCUCCAGACUCAUAAUAAAACUAGCAUCUACCAGAAAACUGAAAUUUUAGGAGAACUGACACUCGGAGGAGUUAGAAGACCAAAGUGAUUUUCUUAAACAGUUGAAAAAUUUCACUUCUCAUAUGGGAAAGAAAAAGUUCUAGCUGCAAAGCCUGGCCAUUAAAUAAAAUCCACACUAUUUAUGAGAAUAAUUCAUAAUAGCUAGAAAAGAUGUUCUUUUGUCUAAAGAUGCUGACCAUUGUGGGUGCAGAGUCAAAAGGCAGGUUAAGGACUUAGCAAAUGGCAGUGGAGCCCUCCUCCUGGUUAGAGCACAGGCGCAGGGGGCAGGUGGGCCGUGAUUCCUUCCCAGCCCUCAGAAUUAGCUAUUGUUAUGGACUGCAUAUUUGGAUCUAUCCCCUGCCCCCAAAUUCAUCCACUGAAGCCCUAACCCCCAAUGUGAUGGUAUUUGGAGGUGGAACCUUUGGGAGAGAAUCAGCUCAUGAGGGUGGAGCCCUCAGGAUGGGAUUAGUGCCCUUCCAAGAAGAGACGCCAGAGAGCUUGUUUCCUCUCAGUCCCGUGAGGACACAGGGAGAAAGACGGCCUGUGUUCUAUCGACCAGGAAGUAAGUAAGUGGCUUCUCACCAGACACUGAAUCUGCUGGUGCCUUGAUCUUGGGACUCCUGAGCCUUCAGAACUGUGAGAAAUAAAUGUUUGCUGUUUAGACCACCCAGUCUAGGGUAGUUUUGUUAUAGCAGCCAGAGCUAAUAAGACAGCUACCAUGUAGUCCUUUUUUUUUUUGGUGGUGCCUCACAG